rnacentral:snRNA from 1 species
AUCACUUCUCGGCCUUUUGGCUAAGAUCAAGUGAAUUGUUUAUGUGGAUUACUCUUGUCACCUUAACUCUAAUGGGGGUUGAGGGGAAUCACUUGUCUUCCACUGAUCUCUUAGGCUUAGACAAAAUCUAUGGGGGAACAAAUUAAA